GAUGCCUGGAGGAGAAGAAGAAGACGACGUGCUCCUCCGCCACCCCCUCCUCCACCACCUCCUGAUCGAACAGCUCCGACAUUCACCUAUUGUCCGAAUGGUCUCGGCAAUCAGUAUACCACAACGACAUCGACGACCGUCUCGUGGAGAACGCCUACGGCGACUGAUAAUAGAGGUUAUGCCUCUGUAUCACUAACAUCUGGCUCUGGUCCUGGAUCUACCUUCACAGCUGGUUCUCAUUCGAUACGAUAUACAGCCAGGGACAGUGCCGGGAAUCAAGCAACUUGUACCGUCAGCUUUACGGUCAUUGGUAAGAAUGGAUUUAAAGGACAAGUCCACCGUACCCCAACAAAAAGUUUAUUUGAAUAAAAAUAGAAAAAUCCAACAAGCAAAGCACUGAAAAUUUCAUUGAAAUCGGAUGUAAAAUUAUGACACUUUAAAGUUUCGCUUAAAUUUAUAAAACAGUUGUAUGCACAUCCUGGUCUUUAUACAAAUGAGGGGACUGAUGACAUCACUCACUCACUAUUUCUUUUGUAUUUUAUAAUACGAAAUAUAAGAUAUUUAAUUUUCUCCUUAUUGUCAUGUGAAAUAAAGUCCUCCCUGAACAUGUGGAAUUGAUAAAGUUUAACAUUUUGUGUUUCAGUCUAGUUGGUCACUAUUGUCAAAUCUGUAAAAAAUGAAAUAUUGUAUAAUUCAAACAAUACAAAACAAAAGAUCAUCGACUCUCUCAUUUGCAUAUCACUGAGAUGUGCAUAUAACUAUUUUUUGAAAAAUAAGCGAACUUUGAAAUGUCAUAACUUUCUUAUUUUACAUCCGAUUCUGAUGAAAUUUUCAUUGUUGUGCUUGUUUGAUUUUUUCUUUAUUUACUCAAACCUACAGUUUUCUGGGGUGGACUUGACUUUUAAGGAUCGAUUGGUAUACAGAGGGAAAAAGAAAGGGGGUGGAGAGAGAGAGGGGGAGGGGCAGGGGGAUACUGUGAUAUUGAAUUAAUAGAUGUUAUUGUUUUUAUUAUUGUUGUCAUUAUGAAUUCAUAAUAUCAUCAAUGUCAUCAUAAUCAUCAAAAUCAUUUUCAUCGUAAUUAUCUUCCUAAUAGCCAUCACCAUCAGUAUGAUGAUGAUGAUGAUGAUGAUGAUCAUCAUCACCAUCGUCAUAACCAUAACCAGCACCGCCACCACCAUCAUCAUCGUCAUCACCAUUCUGUUCCAUUUUGUUCGAUUUCAUUAUCCUAUACUGUUUUCUUCUUGGUGUGAUCGUUUUUUUUUUUUGCGUUUUUUUCCCUUCAAGAUCUAAUGAUGCUUAAAGAUCAUGGGGAAUUUCACAGGAAAAGGUCGAGGUGGUUUUCUUUUUUUAUAGGAAGUUUUUAUAUCAAAAUAACAGACUUGAUAACCUGGGAAUUUGCCUAUGCUUACCAAAUGCAGAUCACAGAGAGUGAAUGCAAGCAAGCAAGAAAGAAUGAAAGGAAGAAAGAAAUAGAGACAGACGGGAAGAAUGAAAGAAAGACACAAACAAACGAUUAAAAAAAAUGGGGAAAUUAAGAAAUAACAUGGAAGAAAAAAAAGAGAAAAAAUUAAAGAUAAAUAGAGAAACAAAAAAAGAAGAUAAAUAGAGAGGGAAAGAAUGAAAUUAUAGAAAGAAAGAACGAAAGAAAGAGAGUGAGAGAGAGAGAGAG